CCCCUAGAUGUUCUGGGCCGCACGCGCGCUACACUGAACAGUUCAACAAGUCUUAACCUUGGCCGAUAGGUCUGGGUAAUCUUUGAACGCUGUUCGUGAUUGGGAUAGACCUUUGCAAUUAUGGGUCUUCAACGAGGAAUUCCUAGUAAACGCAAGUCAUCAGCUUGCAUUGAUUACGUCCCUGCCCUUUGUACACACCGCCCAUCGCACCUACCGAUUGAAUGGUCCGGUGAAAUCUCGGGACGGCGGCUUGGUCGCUUGCGUCCGACUGCUGAAACUUGAUUAAACCAUAUCAUUUAGAGGAAGGUGAAGUCGUANCA
rnacentral:rRNA from 1 species